rnacentral:misc_RNA from 1 species
GAUGAAGAACGCAGCGAAAUGAGAUACGUAAUGUGAAUUGCAGAAUUCAGUGAAUCAUCGAGUCUUUGAACGCACAUUGCGCCCCCUGGUAUUCCGGGGGGCAUGCCUGUCCGAGCGUCAUUGCUGCCCUCAAGCACGGCUUGUGUGUUGGGCCUCCGUCCUCCUCCCGGGGGACGGGCCCGAAAGGCAGCGGCGGCACCGCGUCCGGUCCUCGAGCGUAUGGGGCUUCGUCACCCGCUCUUGUAGGCCCGGCCGGCGCUUGCCGACACAUCAAUCUUUUUUCCAGGUUGACCUCGGAUCAGGCAGGGAUACCCGCUGAACUUAAGCAUAUCAAUAAGCGGAGGA